GACGAACGCUGGCGGCGUGCUUAACACAUGCAAGUCGAACGGUGAAGGGACCGGUUUUUGCUGGUUCUGGAUGAGUGGCGAACGGGUGAGUAACACGUGAGUAACCUGCCCCCUUCUUCUGGAUAACCGCAUGAAAGUGUGGCUAAUACGGGAUAUUCUGCGCCUGCUGCAUGGUGGGUGUGGGAAAGAUAUUGUUUCGGUGGGGGAUGGGCUCGCGGCCUAUCAGCUUGUUGGUGGGGUGAUGGCCUACCAAGGCGGUGACGGGUAGCCGGCCUGAGAGGGUGGACGGUCACACUGGGACUGAGACACGGACCAGACUCCGACGGGAGGCAGCAGUGGGGAAUAUUGCACAAGGGGCGCAAGCCUGAUGCAGCGACGCCGCGUGAGGGAUGGAGGCCUUCGGGUUGUAAACCUCUUUCGCCAGUGAAGCAGGCCUGUCCCUUUUGUGGGUGGGUUGACGGUAGCUGGAUAAGAAGCGCCGGCUAACUACGUG
rnacentral:rRNA from 1 species